rnacentral:lncRNA from 1 species
AACAGACCUUUCCUGAACUGGACGAAAUUUUAUCCAAAAAAAUUCAAGUUUGGCGGAAAUAUAAUGAUAGCCCACUAGAGGAAAUUGUGGAGAAGUGGAAAACGACACAUCUAUAUAGAAAUAUUUAUCUCAUGAAUUCAUUGGAAAGAGGGGAAACGAUAUCCGCAUUUAUAAUCGAAUGGCCUUUGUACAAACAUUGUGUUCUUGGACCACAGCUGAUCAAUUGUGAUUUUGAUAUACUCUAUCCGAACAAAGGAACAAAUUUGCAUACAAAGUGGGAAGAUUUCGUGCCAUUAAUAUACAGCUAUUAUAAGAAAAAUAAAAGGACAAAGUUUCCCGAGAAAUUUUAAUUCAAUUGGAAAAUCAAAACCUCGCUGCAGGUACUAGAAAUUAUAUUUGGGGUAUUCACAACGGUGUC